UCAUUAAUACUGGUUAGUAUUGACUGACUUUAUCUUUAUCUGCCCCAAAGGAGUCAGUAUUCAGAGUGCUUGUGGGCAUGGAGAAAUCGCCUGAAAUCGUUACUUUGCCAGAACGCCUUCUCAUUGUUAGUAAUGUGCCAAAAACACUUGGGGCAAUCAAGGAAGUAGAGACCAUAAUUCAACGCUAUGGUGGCUUCAAGAAAGUUUUGCCUCUGAAUGGCAAGAUUAUUUUUGAAAUGGAGAGUGUUGCUAACGCCAGGACUAUCUUCAGUCGCUUCCUCAAGUUUCGUUGUGUGGUCCAGAACAAUACCCUUAACUUCCAACUAGCCAAACCACUCAAGGUACUUUAGCGAGUAUUUGCAUGAGU
rnacentral:lncRNA from 1 species